rnacentral:rRNA from 1 species
GUGGCGAACGGGUGAGUAACACGUGAGUAACCUGCCCUUAACUCUGGGAUAAGCCUUGGAAACGGGGUCUAAUACUGGAUAUUGACUUUACCUCGCAUGGGGUUUGGUUGAAAGAUUUAUUGGUUUUGGAUGGACUCGCGGCCUAUCAGCUUGUUGGUGAGGUAAUGGCUCACCAAGGCGACGACGGGUAGCCGGCCUGAGAGGGUGACCGGCCACACUGGGACUGAGACACGGCCCAGACUCCUACGGGAGGCAGCAGUGGGGAAUAUUGCACAAUGGGCGAAAGCCUGAUGCAGCGACGCCGCGUGAGGGAUGACGGCCUUCGGGUUGUAAACCUCUUUCAGUAGGGAACAAGGCCAGCAUUUUUGUUGGUUGAGGGUACUUGCAGAAGAAGCGCCGGCUAACUACGUGCCAGCAGCCGCGGUAAUACGUAGGGCGCAAGCGUUAUCCGGAAUUAUUGGGCGUAAAGAGCUCGUAGGCGGUUUGUCGCGUCUGCCGUGAAAGUCCGGGGCUCAACUCCGGAUCUGCGGUGGGUACGGGCAGACUAGAGUGAUGUAGGGGAGACUGGAAUUCCUGGUGUAGCGGUGAAAUGCGCAGAUAUCAGGAGGAACACCGAUGGCGAAGGCAGGUCUCUGGGCAUUAACUGACGCUGAGGAGCGAAAGCAUGGGGAGCGAACAGGAUUAGAUACCCUGGUAGUCCAUGCCGUAAACGUUGGGCACUAGGUGUGGGGGACAUUCCACGUUUUCCGCGCCGUAGCUAACGCAUUAAGUGCCCCGCCUGGGGAGUACGGCCGCAAGGCUAAAACUCAAAGGAAUUGACGGGGGCCCGCACAAGCGGCGGAGCAUGCGGAUUAAUUCGAUGCAACGCGAAGAACCUUACCAAGGCUUGACAUGAACUGGAAAUACCUGGAAACAGGUGCCCCGCUUGCGGUCGGUUUACAGGUGG